AACUGAUACUACCUGCGGGAACCUGCGGAAGGAUCAUUAAUGAGAAACUGCCCCUCGCGGGUAGAUCUCCCACCCUUUGUAAACUUACCUUUGUUGCUUUGGCAGGCCCGUCUCCGGACCGCCGGCUUCGGCUGGCCAGUGCCUGCCAGAGGAUUCUAAAACUCUGUCUGUCAGUGUUGUCUGAGUCUAUAUACAAUCGUUAAAACUUUUAGCAAUGGAUCUCUAGAUCGGAAGAGCACA
rnacentral:misc_RNA from 1 species